rnacentral:rRNA from 1 species
AACGAACGCUGGCGGCAUGCCUAACACAUGCCAGUCGAACGAGACCUUCGGGUCUAGUGGCGCACGGGUGCGUAACGCGUGGGAACCUGCCCUUAGGUUCGGAAUAACUCCCCGAAAGGGGUGCUAAUACCGGAUAAUGUCUUCGGACCAAAGAUUUAUCGCCUUUGGAUGGGCCCGCGUUGGAUUAGCUAGUUGGUAGGGUAAAAGCCUACCAAGGCGACGAUCCAUAGCUGGUCUGAGAGGAUGAUCAGCCACACUGGGACUGAGACACGGCCCAGACUCCUACGGGAGGGAGCAGUGGGGAAUAUUGGACAAUGGGCGAAAGCCUGAUCCAGCAAUGCCGCGUGAGUGAUGAAGGCCUUAGGGUUGUAAAGCUCUUUUACCCGGGAUGAUAAUGACAGUACCGGGAGAAUAAGCACCGGCUAACUCCGUG